CUCCUUGAAUAAGGUUCUUGUCAAGUAAGUGGAUCAGCACCCAUUGACAUAGUCCUUCCAGGCUCUGCCGAGUAAGCGGAUAAGACCCCUUUGGCAGACCCACAAGAACUCUUAGCCAUAGAUCAAUAUCUCGCUGAGGCUCUUGAGAUGAAGCAGACUCCUGGGCAGUAACCAUGAAGUCUUCCGUCUAAUCAGGUAGGAACCAAGGUUUUACUUAUUUAUUACCUACAAUGUAUGUUGUGAUUCCUGUCUAAUUCAGUAAUUAGCUGUCUUUUACCCUCCUCCAAUGGUGUGAAUCAGCUAAGUAUAUAUCUGACAGGUAAGUUGAAUGUAUAAAAAUGAUAUUGUUAUGAUACAAUAAAGUUUUAUACAUACUUACCUGGCAGAUAUAUACAAUUAAUUGCCCAACCAACCUCCCCUCAGGAGACCGGUGGUAGAGAAAAUCUGAUAGAAAACGGGAAUGGUUCCUAUUCCUGCCACCCAGCGGCAGGGCGGUAGAUCACCUGACCUACCUGUAGUGUGUGCGCGAAAUUCGAAUUUCUGUCGGAUGACGGAGUCUAAUAGCUAAGUAUAUAUCUGCCAGGUAAGUAUGUAUAAAACUUUAUUGUAUCAUAACAAUAAUCAUUUUUCCUUGGUCUAAAGCCAAAUUGAUUCUUCACCUCCCAGUCGCGCGGCGCGUGCACUGUCGGACAAGCAGUUUACUACCGAACUCCCUUGUUUGAAGCUUACGACCGUUCCAGCUGCCGCUAGUUACCUUCCUAUUGUAAAAGACCUCAGGUUUAUAUAGUUAGGAAAAAUGCAAUUUUCGACAAACUGCCAUUUCUCUCCAUAUUCAUUCUCUAUGUCCCAUUAUCACUUCAACCCCUUUUAGAUUUUAUCAGCUUUAUUUCAUCUAGUUACCUAACCACUUUGACUUCAAAGUCAAUAAUGUUGGAAUCUGAUAGUUUACCAGUGUACUAGAUAUAUUGAGAUCUCAGAGGUGGGACUAUGUUAGAACUAUUCCAUCAUUCCCAUGGAUUCAAGGGUUGGGCAAAUUUCAGGGCCAGGGACUCCUAGCAUAGAUACAGUUGAGAUCGUGAAACUUGAGUGUUUACUGUAGCAACCUUCCCUUUACCAAAAGAGAGUUCAUUUCAGCUCUAGCUACCUGCAGUGACACAGCCCCAGGACCUGAUAAGAUUACAUUUGGCAUGAAAAUAUGUGUAUGCAAGCUCAAAGUGCUUGAGUACUAUAGAAUAUUGUAUGAUACCAAUUGUCUGGUAAGCUGAGAACUAUUGUAGCUAUUUUUUUUUUUAGCUUAUUAUUACUUCAGAAGAAAUUUAUAGUGGCCAGUUGCAUUGACAUCUUGUCAGUGUGUGAUGACUUGGUAUCCACCACAAUAAUCACACUUACCAAAACACUUAUCUGUAUUAACAAAAACCCAUAAUUAGUCCACAAAAGGUGGAAAAAUGUUCAAAACAAAGUUGUACAAACUCAGUUCAAGGGGUCAAAGAAAAUACUCUAAUAAAACCCUUAAUUUGUUCCGACACGUUAUACAAACCAUCGGUCCUUUACACUAGGAAGAUUGCUUAUCCCUUAAACGCCGAAUGGACGUAUUAAACGUCGAGUCAAAAUGUCUCCCGUAUGCCGAAUGGACGUACCAUACGUCGACUCAAAAAAGUUUUUUUAAAAAUUCGCGAAAAAAUACUUAUAGGCCUACCAGCCGAAAACUUUUGAAUCACGCACCUUGGGGGAUGCUGGGAGUUCACGGAUCAAGGCGUUGUUUUGUUUACAAUCGUUACGCAGGCGCGCAAGCGCGAAUUUCUUUCUUAUCGCACUAAAAAGUAUCAGUGACACAUCUCAAAAAUUAUUUCGUCACUUUGACAUAACUUUUGCACCGUUUUAAAUUAUCCUUUACAUGAAGUAUUAUAUAUGAAAAUGUGCACAAUUUCAUGUAAAAUACAACAAAAAAAUAUCCAUGAUUGUAGUUUUUAUCAGUUUUGAAAUAUUUUCAUAUAAAUAACGAUAAGUGCCAAAAUUUCAACCUUCGGUCAAUUUUGACUCUACCGAAAUGGUCAAAAAACGCAAUUGUAAGCUAAAACUCUUAUACGUAUUCUAGUAAUAUUCAAUCAUUUGCCUUCAUUUUGCAACAAAUUGGACGUCUCUAGCACAAUAUUUCGAUUAAUGGUGAAUUUAUGAAAAAACUUUUUCCUUACGUCCGCGCGGUAACUCUUCCGAAAAUUUUUUUUUCGUGCGAUUGUCCUAAUGUUUGCACCAUUUUAAAUUUGCCGUUACAUAAAGUUUUAUAUAUGGAAAUGUGCGCAAUUUUUUGCACAGUACAACUAAAAACAACCCAUGGUUGUAGCUUUUAUCAGUUUUGAAAUAUUUUCAUAUAAAUAACGAUAAAGUGCAAAAAUUUCAACCUUCGGUCAACUUUGACUCUACCGAAAUGGUCGAAAAACGCAAUUGCAAGCUAAAACACUUAUAUACUAGUAAUAUUCAAUCAUUUUCCUUAAUUUUGCAACAAAUUGGAAGUCUCUAUCACAAUAUUUCGAUUUAUGGUGAAUUUAUGGAAAAAAAAAACAUUUUCCUUACGCCCGCGCGGUAACUCUACCGAAAAAAAUCUGAAAUUUUUUCUUGCGAUUGUCGAAAUGUUUGCACCAUUUAAAAUUAGCCGUUACAUAAAGUUUUAUAUAUGAAAAUGCGCGCAAUUUUAUUUAGAAUAAAACUAAAAAUGAUUGAAGGUUGUAGCUUUUCUCUUUUUUGAAAUAUUUGCAUAUAAAUCACGAUAAAUAGAAAAAAAACCACGUUCGGUCAACUUUGACUCUACUGAAAUAGUCAAAAAACGCAAUUGUAAGCUAAAACUCUUACAAUCUAGUAAUAUACAGUCAUUUAUCUUCAUUUUGAAACAAAUUCGAAGUGUCUAGCACAAUAUUUAGAUUUAUGGUGAAUUAAAAAAAAACACUUUUUAUCCCUCCGCGCGCCGAUUUGCGGCCGCAAAUCUCCGAAAUGUGUAUGUCGCAUUCUCCUAAUAUUUACUCCUUUUCAUGUUAAGCGUUUUAUAGAGUUUCAUAUAUGAAAAUUUGCGCAAAUUCAUGAAAAAUACAAACAAAAAUAUUUGAAGGCUGUAGCUUUUCUCAUUUUUGCAAUAUUUGCAUAUAAAUAAUAUAUAUAUAAAAAUUUCGACAUUUGGUCAAAUAUAACUCGUCCUAAAUGGUCGUAAACUGCAAUUCUAAGCUAAAACUCUUACAGUAUCGUAAUAUUCAAUCAUUUGUCUUCAUUUUGAAACAAAUUGGAAGUCUCUAGAACAAUAUUUAGAUUUAUGGUGAAUUUUUGAAAAAACAUUUUACGUCCGCGCAUUACGAAUUCAUGCAUUAUUUUGUGAUAAUAUUUUCUCUGUGUUGCUUUUAUUGUUUUACAAUGUGUUAUAUACAAAAAUGAUCGCAAUUUAGUGUACAUUACAACGAAAAAAAGUAACUUGUUACCUUUACCGUUUUGCGCACAGCGCGAUUUGAAUACAAUUAUAUAUAAAUUUCGUUUUUGCGCUAUUAUAUAUCGCAUUAUUUAUAUAUGAUAAUGAUAAUUUUUUUCAUUUCUGAUGGUUACAUACUAAACUUCAGCCAAUGAAAAAAAAAGGAGCCAAAAAUGAACUCUUAAUCUUGAAAACUAAGCGCGCUGUGAUUUUUUGAAAAAAAUAUUUUUUCCGCUUCCGCGCUCACUCUGAAACACCUCCGGCACACGGGAGACAAUUUUUUUUUUACCGCUUCGGCGUUUAAGGGUUAAGCGGCAGCUGGAACGGUCGUAAGCUUCGAACAAGGGGUAACGUAAUUAGCAGCUUGUCCGCCAGUGUGCGCGCCGCACGACUGGGAGGCAAGAAAUCACUUUUGCUUUCGGCCAUGUUGGGUGAAGACGUGUUCGUCGCGCUCUCUGCCCGCUGAUCGUCAUUCGCUUUGAGUGUUUGUGUACCUUCUUCUGGUUUGUGUGUGUGGAAAAGUUUACUGCAAGUACGGUAUCUCUUUUUCAUUAUUACUGAUAAUGGAUCAAGGUGAUGAUAAUUCUCCGCGCCCUACCACUUCAUGCAGAAUUUGUCCUGGUGUGGAUGGGCGCCGCUGUGGGGCUUUCCGAUCAUUUUUGGAAGUGGAUCCUCAUGAAUUAUGUUCACGUUGCCGAGGGCGUGAUUGCUCUCGGUCCAAUACUUGUGUUGUGUGUGUUGAUUGGUCCGAGGCGCAGUGGGUGCUGUACGAGGGGAGGAGGAAGAGAAGGCCUGCCAGGGAGUCGUCGGGAAGUUCUCCUGCGACUCCCUUGGUUACGGACACUUCUUCUUCUUUCCUUCCUCCCGCUCAGCUCCCACGUCUGUUGCCUUCCCCCGCGGGGGGUGGUUUCGGAGUCCUUCUCCUCUCUCGAUCGUUCGAGUGUGGAGGAGGGCGCCCGUUACCCGGACAUCCAGUUGUACUCGGGGUCUUCCGUGCUUUCGGGGUGGGGCACUUCCCCCCCGUGCGUGAGGGAACCCCUCUAUUUGACCCGACUCUUGCUCCCGCAGGUAGGACUUCCGUGGGUGACGACCUUGGACAGGUGUGGGCUGCGCUUGGGCUGCUGCAGCGUCUAGCGGGGUCUGGGGCGGUAACCCAUGGAGCGGUCACUACCACGACCACCACGAUCUCCACGCCUGCUUAUGCUGCUCCCCCUCACCUGGUCUACACUCAACAUGCUGUGUCGGUGACGCCGUCUGCUGCCACCCAGGGGCCGGUCGCUGCCGUACCGAGGGGGGGGAUGCCGCCACCGCCUGGGCUCUUCGCGUUGCCUGCCCCAGACUUCCGCUGUCCUAAGAGCUCGCCCCUGGACCGACCACCAGUUCCCAGGUUCCCGCUGGCUGCCGAGACCGAGAGGGUGAUGGCUGCACCGGCCGUACUUGUCGUUCCUGCAGAUGUUGUGGUUCCUGACGUUGGUUUGGCUGCCCCUGAUGUCUGUGCUGCUGUUGAUGUUCCUGCCGCCCCUUCCGUUGAUGAGAUGGUUGCUGCUCCUGCCGUGUCUGCCGCUCCUGUUGUUCCUGCCGUUCCUGCCCCUGUCCAUGCUGUUCCUGCCCGCGGUGUGUCUUCCCCAGUCCCAGGUCCUUCCAGACAGGUGCAGUCAGGCCGUGUUGCUUCAGCAAUAGCCCCGGCUCCGGCCUGGAUGGAGGACCUGACGACUGUCCUGAGGGAGCUGACGAAGAAGAGGAGGAAGGUGUCGUCUUCGUCGUCUGCUUCGCCGUCUGCUGCCGCCUCUUCACCUUCGACUUCUAAGGCUCGCAAGCCGAAGAAGAAGAGGCUGUUCCCCCCCCCCCCCGACCCCCCCCCCCCCCCAGAAGUCUCCUUCAGGAGCUUCUAAGGGCCCGUCUCGCCUCGGUGAGACGGGGGGUUCUUCUGCUGGUCCUCCUGCUCCUUCAGGAGCGGGGCCAGCCUCCCCUUCCGCCAGGAAGAGGAAGGCGGGGACUAGAGGAGUUCCAGUUUUGGCCGGUCCUUCCUCGCCUGGUGUUAGUGGUCCUGCCACUAAGCCAGGAUCCGGCUCGGUCUCUCGUUCGCGGAGAUCCCGAGUGUACGCUCUCCCCCGGGAGACCGUGCAGCCAAAGUUUUGGCGCCAGAGUUCGCUCGGCGCCAAGACAGCGGCACGGAGCAGAAGGCUGGUGAGAGAGCCGCUCAGGUGGUUCCCGCCAGGCCAGCGGCCGCUCUCGUAGCGACCUGCCGGUACCUAGGGUGGAUGUGACGGUCGCUGACCGGCCAUGGGCUGAGGCAGGGAAGAGGUCCCCCCGGCCGGUGGUGCUAGCAGCUCGACGCGCCGCGAGCCCACCCACCAGUCCAGCCGCGACAGCGAGCGUUGCCGCUCCCCUGACCGACUCUCCCACAGGGACCAGUCGGGUAGGGAGAGUGGCAGCAGCUUGUCUGACGCGCAGGACCGGCGCCGCUGUGCUCAGUCCAACCGCUUGCCCCAGGCGAGCGGCGCGACCAGGCCUGCAGCUCGGUCCCCACCGCGGGUUGGGGAUCGCCUGCAGCCCUCCAAGCCUACCGGUUCUGCCGGUGAGCGUGGAGGGAGCAUCAGGUCUUCCUCUCCAGUGCCUUCAACCUCCUCGGGUUACACGGGGAGGGGCGAGACACCUAGGAGCGAUCACGAGGGGCGUGCCUCUUGUGAUCCCGUCCCGAUGCCGUACAUGCCUGGUUCGGUCCUAGGAUCAGCCAGGACUUACGCACAAGUGGCAGGAGGAGACCGAGAGGGGUCUGUUGUUGUUCCUCCUUCCGAAGGAGGAGGAUCCCGAGAGUCGGCCUUGUUGGAGGGACUGGAUGGUCCUACUCCUCGAGACGCCGUUACCCCCGAGAUCCAGAGGAACUUUGCCGAGGUUAUUGCACUGAUUCGUCAGCACAACGACCUCGGGGAGGGAUCACCGCUUCCACCUUUUGAGCCCACGUCCCGGCUUGAGUCGUUCUGGGGCCCGAAUAGGGAACCCAGACCGACGGUGGGCCUGCCUCGAUCCCAGCUCGCCGACUCAGUGCUCAACCAGGUGGAAUCUCUCGUUUCCGGACAGGAAGAUUCGCUCAGGUCGGGUCGGUCGUCGAAGCUGCUUCCUCCUCCUCUGCAGCGACAGCGGCGAUUUUAUGUGCCAUCUGAGGACCCGAUGCCGCCUAAACAGGUUAACCCGGGGUUAGUUAGACUAACACCGGGUGUGUCUCUGCAGCAGCUCCUGUCUGAGAACCUAUGGUUCUCACAGCAAGAGGCACAAGGCCUGGAAUCUACCGCGAUGGCAGCAUUCCAGGCGGUCUCCUGGCUCGACCUGUGCUCCCUCACAGUGUCGAAAGUCGCGGCCAACCUUGGGGGCUCUGCCAGUCUGGAGGUAGGGCCAUCUCCUACCUAGCCCACCAGACGGCUAACCUGUGGGCUAACCUGGUUCUUCGUCGUCGGGACGCCGUCCUGACACGAGUAUCCAGGGGGGCUGGGCGUGAGGCGGCACUCGGGCUGCGGAACGGACCGGUUCGGAGUUCCUCCUCUCUCUUCCCAGACGAGAUGGUGGACGCUGCGGUAGAGAGACGGCGCACUGAUGACAGUGACCGUCUUCUCCACCAGGCAGUUUCGAAGGCGGCUGGGCAGCCUCGAACUGCGGCUAAACCCAAGAGUUUGGCUGGCACUUCCUCGGGGGCUAAGACGGCUACCACGUCUUAACCCCGAAGAAAGACUCUGUCUUCUUCUUCUGCGAAGGGGGCCUCUAACCAGCCCUCCUCCUCGCGAGGAGCGGCAGGAAAGAAGUCGAAGAAAGGUGGGAAAUGCUAGGGACGGCGUUCCCCUCAUCUGCUGCCGAAAGUGGGGGGGUGCCUGGCGAGCCAUUGGGCAACUUGGCAGCGCUAUGGCGCCGAGACCUGGGUAGUAGACGUCCUUCGGGAGGGAUAUCUACUCCCCUUCGAAUCUCGACCACCCCUCACUUCCCACCCGGUCCAACCCCUGACGUAUGUCAAAGGAUCCACAAAGGACAUCGCUCUUCGACAGGAGAUCCAGACCAUGCUGAGCAAGGGAGCUGUAGAAAUCGUCGAGGACCAAUCACCGGGCUUCUACUGCCGCCUUUUCCUGGUGGAGAAGUCUUGGGGGGGCUGGUGCCCGGUGAUAGACCUCUCUCCUCUGAACCAUUUUCGCCAGACUCUGUUCAAGAUGGAAACGGCACGUUCCAUGCUCGAUUCCAUCAGGGGGAACGAUUUCAUGCUUUCGGUGGACCUGAAGGAUGCGUAUUUCCAGAUACCCAUCCAUCAGUCCUCCAGGAAGUACCUCCGCUUCAUCCUCGACGGGACGGUGUACCAAUUUAGGGCACUUUGUUUCGGUCUGUCAACCGCCCCACAGGUGUUCACGCGAGUGUUCACUCUGGUGUCUGCUUGGGCCCACUCGAACGGGAUACGUCUGUUGAGGUAUCUCGACGAUUGGCUAGUCCUGGCGAGCUCCCGCUCGCAGUUGCUACAGGACAGGGAUCGACUUCUCAGGUUCUGCCGCGAUCUGGGGAUCGUGGUAAACUUAGAGAAGUCCGAUCUCAAACCCAAGCAGAGGAUGAAGUACCUGGGCAUGCUGAUUGAUACGGUAGCAGGGCAAGUCUUCCCCACAGACUUGCGGAUCAGCAGGUUCAGGGAGGCAGCCAACCGGUUUCUGUCUCGACAGAAGCAACCAGCUCAGCAAUGGCAAGUCGUGAUCGGCCACCUGUCGUCACUCGAGAAGUUAGUCCCUCACGGGUGUCUUCACCUGCGGUCUCUUCAGUGGAGACUAAAGGAGAGUUGGUCACAGGCUCAGGACCCGCCGUACUUCCCCGUGGCUCUCACGGAGGAGGUGAGACGGGACCUCGCUUGGUGGCUGGACGACAGGAACCUCUUAAAGGGAGUGCGCCUCACCACUCUCUCUCUCUCUCUCUCUCUCUCUCUCUCUCUCUCUCUCUCUCUCUCUCUCUCUCUCUCUCUCUCUCUCUCUCUCUCUCUCUCUCUCUCUCCCCGGAGAUGUUGCUGUUUUCAGACGCAUCCACCGAGGGUUGGGGCGCACACCUGGAGGAGUUGCUGGCUGCAGGUGUGUGGGACAAUCACAACAAGCACCUUCACAUCAAUGUCUUGGAACUCAAGGUGGCGUUCUACGCUCUCCAAGAAUUCCAGGACCGCUUGGUGGGACACUCGGUGGUGUUGAUGUGCGACAACACCACAGUAGUGGCAUAUGUCAACAAACAGGGGGGACUGAUGUCUCUCCCGUUGCACCAGUUGACAAUGCAGGUGCACGAGUGGGCCAUCGCUCACUCGAUAGAGCUGUCAGCACGCUACAUCCCAGGCAAGAGGAAUGUAGUAGUGGACAAGCUCAGCCGUCGGGAUCAGGUGAUAGGGACCGAAUGGUCACUACACCCAGACAUGGUGGAAAGGCUCUUCAACCUGUGGGGGCGUCCAGUUGUCGAUCUGUUCGCCACCCGGCACAACAGAAAACUCCAGGUUUUCUUUUCAGCCGUGCCGGAUCCAUGGGCAGCUGCAGAGGACGCACUUCAGCAGUCCUGGAACAACCUCUUCGCCUACGCCUUUCCUCCAUUCUGCCUGAUUCGCAAGGUGAUCAGUCGAGCGCUGGUCACCCCGAACCUCAGGAUGAUCCUGGUGGCUCCCAGGUGGCCACAGGCCGUCUGGUAUCCGGAUCUGCUGGCUCUUCUCGCGGAAGCACCAAGAGAGAUUCCCCCCUGGCACAACCUUCUCGCCCAACCGCACGUCGAACGGUACCACCAGGCAGUCCAGUCUCUUCAACUUCACGGCUGGCUGUUAUCCACCAUCUCUUGCAAAAGAGAGGCUUUUCUUGCAGCGCAUCAACAGAGAUGGCUGGACACGUCAGGCAGUCCUCUGCAGCUGUGUACCAGGGAAAGUGGGCCGUCUUCUGUGGUUGGUGUUGUAGACAGGGUCUCUCUCCUCUCAGAGCCACUAUUCAGCAGAUAGCGGAUUUCCUGGUCUUUCUUCGCCGAGAGAAUCUCCUCUCAGUCCCCACAGUCAAAGGAUACAGAUCCGCCCUGGCUCUGGUCCUGAAACUGAGGGGGUUGGACAUCUCGGAUUCGUUCGAGAUCUCCUUGCUUAUGAGGAGCUUCGAAAGGUCUUGCCCACCCAGGGAACUCAGGCCCCCUGCGUGGGACGUGACUCUCGUCCUUAGGAGUUUGACUCGAAGGCCAUUCGAGCCACUCCGAGAGUCGUCAGACAGGGAUCUGACUCUCAAGACCCUCUUCUUGCUGGCCCUGGCAUCGGCGAAGAGAGUAGGAUAAAUUCAUGGUCUUUCGUAUGAUGUUAAGCAUUCCAGGGGAUGGGGAUCUGUGACGCUCGAUUUCAUCCCGAACUUCGUGGCUAAGACUCAGAAUCCGUCAUUCCCUGACGACAGGUUCGAGUCUUUCACAAUCCCCUCCUUAAUGGAUUUCACCGACAACAAUAUGGAUGAGAUGCUGCUUUGUCCUGUAAGGGUGCUACAGCGCUAUCUGAAGAGGACUCGACACCUCAGGCCUGAGUGUCGACGACUCUUCGUUAGCACCGGGGUUACCAAGAAAGAAGUAUCCAAGAACACGCUUUCUUUCUGGCUGCGUGAGGUGAUCAGGAGGGCGUACGAGACUGAUGGUAGUGACGACACCCGUCCCCUUCGUCCGAGAGCCCACGAAGUCAGAGGCAUUGCCCCGUCAAUGGCGUUCCGCAAGAACUUCUCCGUGGCGCAGGUCCUGAAGGCUGGGGUCUGGUCCAACCAGACCACCUUUACCUCCUUCUACUUUCGGGAUAUUGCCCACAAGUCCUUGGAUACCUUUUCCUUGGGACCUGUGGUGGCUGCUCAACACGUUGUGUAAGCUUACCCAGCACCCUAGCAGGCAGAACAGCAUCGAUUCCUUGGUCUGAUUGGAAGAAUGAAUGUGGUGAAUGAGAGUGUGACUGGCUUCUCUUCCCCAUCUUUCUCUCCCUCUACCUGUGGGCAGAGGGUCUCGGUCGUCACCAUGCUGGAAGAGGAAAAGAUGCAGGUAAGCUACCCGACAGAGCUCCAGUCUAUUCCUUUCGUUAGGAAUAGGUGUAAAUAUCCUCCACUUCCUCCUACAAGGGGGGGGGGGAGUGGAUGCCAACAAGAGACAAACCCAUAACUUUAUGUUGCCUCUUGCAACAGGAACAAAGUUCUUGCUUGCUAGUACCAAGAGAUACGCUUGCCUCUCUCUUAGUACUUGGGUCCAGAGGUCUGACCAUUGAUCCUUCGGUACACACCCCAAUCAAUUGGACAGAGGCUAGGAUCCCUCCCUCUGCUCUUGACGACCAGGGAGGGCAUCCAAGGUUGGACGAACACCAGUCUGUUCUUUAAGACUCAGGUCCUCCAACCAUUCAGUGAGUCUUCCUAGUGUAAAGGACCGAUGGUUUGUAUAACGUGUCGGAACAAAUGGCAAUUUGUCAAAAAUUGCAUUUUUCCUAACUAUACAAACCUGAGGUCCUUUACACAUAGUCCCACCUCAUGCCACCCCUCACUCUGUGUUUUUCUGGGCCUAAAGCAAAUGUGAUUCCUCGCCUCCCAGUCGCGCGGCGCGCACACUGGCGGACAAGCAGCUAACUACAUUACCCCUUGUUCGAAGCUUACGACCGUUCCAGCUGCUGUUUAAGCAAUCUUCCUAGUGUAAAGGACCUCAGGAUUUUAUAGUUAGGAAAAAUGCAAUUUUCGACAAAUUGCCAUUUUAAUACACAAAUUACAGACAGAAAUGACACCUGAAACUUAUAAAUACAAUAAAUAAUUACCAACACUCACAUUUAAUACCUAACACAGAAAACAACUACACACUUGAAUGGGCAGGUCAUCAACACUAUAUACCAAUGGGUAGAGGGUCCAGAAAGGAGGAGACCAAUGAAAAGAAAGAAUAUCCUGCCAAAAUACACACUAAAUACCGAUGACUCCUCAAAAAUAAUUUAUGUAGACUGUUCUCCACGUCUGGAGAAUCACUCGGGGUGGUUGGGAAAAGGAAUGGUUCCCAAAAGCUGUGGCAGAGGACAGAGUUCCACUAAGUCCUGCCAAGACUACAGCAGUGCUAAGCGGCUGUGAUCACUUUACACCAAAUGCAGGGGCAAUACCUUCAUACCUGAUAUCAGAGAGGUCCCCCUAGGUAGCUUAACUAAGCCAAGGGUUGCUGAAAGGAGCUGAAGAAAAUACAAUCCUGGAAGGUGGAGAAUUUCACUCACCCCGACUCUCCAAAAUCCAAAAGAUUCCAGGAUGCUUAGCUACAGCAACAGUAAUAUCUUUCAGCGGCAGCAACAGGAGUACCUUCUUGAAUAAGGCUCAGAGAAUGACUGCCUAAAACUCCUUACAGAGUCUCGCACAACCCUAGUAUAAUGAGGGUUUCUCCACAAAUAAGCAUCAUGAAAAAUAAGAAUACAUAGUCGUUAGUCAAACCACCAACAUAAACAAGUAAACAAGGAAAACUUGGUCAAUGGAAGAGAGAAGAUUCAUCAAAAGUGGGGGUAAUUGUGGUUUUCGAAGACUGGUGUGGCGAUUCAGUUGGAACUUUUUGUAUGUGAAACAUUGCCAUUUAGGCCAGCAGAUGAGACUUGAAAAACAUAGCUCAAUGAAUUGGGCAACUGUUUAAUAACUAUUAUGAUUAUUGUUCAGAAGAUAAACCCUAUUCAAGUUUCCAAAGAAUAUGGUUUUCAUUAGAGAGAAGUAACAGAGCAUAAUGAAAAAUACAGAAAGAAGAGAUCACCUAAGAAAAUAAAAAAUAAAUUAAAUUAAUAAAUCCGUAAAUAGGUAAAAAAGUAAGUAAAUUAUCAAAAUACAAGGGGAGUUGUAUUUUGGGUAGAAAUGCAUUUCCUCUUCGCUUGAACCUUUGAAAUUCCAAUUGCACCCUCAUCCUCAGGAGACUUCCACAGUUUGACAGUGUGAAGAAUAAUGGACUUCUGGAACUGCAAAGUUCGACAACAAGGUACAGUUACUGCAUAUUGGUGCUGCUGUUUAGCACAUCUGGCUGCUCUCAGCAAGAAAAGGGGAUCACAGAUCAAUUGUGAAUGAAAAAGAUCUCUGUUGAAAUAUAACCUAUGAAAAUUUUGACAGACAAGAAACCAUCUGCUGAUGGUCCAAGUCAUGACUGCUAAUAUUAGGGAACAGUAACCUACAACUACCAACUACUCUAACUAAUAAUAACAAUAAUAAUAAUAAUAAUAAUACGUCCGUUUAGAUGAUGCAGUAUAUGGUUUAAUCUAAGUAAGUUGCAAUGUUAUAAGAACAUUAAGGAAGGUCAUGGGGACCUGGGAAUAAGUUGUUUAGCAUAGACAGAAAAGUAACUGGUCAUUAAUUGAAAGAUAAAGUAAUACGACUAUUUUUGGUAGUCAGUCUGGCAUGUGGGUCUUAAGGUGUAGCAGUGUCUUUCUGUAUUUUCUUUUAUAUUUGAUGAUCUGUCUUUGUAUCCAUGGUUUGGGUUCAAAUUAUUGUUGGUUUUACUUAUUGGUAUUGUUAUUUUCCUGUUGGAAUAGUUGGACUUUUAUUUUCCAGGUAUUUCUGCCACCUGUUGUCAGUCUGUCUCGUAUCAUCUUAGUAGUAGUGCUUUGAGUGGUUAUUAUACAAAUAUUUUUUAUGAUAGAAAAUUUGUUUUUGUUGGGAUUUUGUAGACAGAAAAUUUGUUUUUGUUGGGAUUUUGUAGACAAGAUGUGUAAAAAUAUGUACAUCAUGCAGAGGAUGUUUUACACACAAUGUCCUCUAUUAAUUUCUAAUUUUUUACAGAUUGCAUAAAUUUGUCAUUGGAAUUCAGUGGUUGAAAAUUGGAAUGUUAUCUUCAGGAUUGCCAUUUACCUCCACCCAAAUGAUUAAAUCCAGUGUUAGAAUGUUUUUCCUCCAUUAAUAUUUUUUUGUCACAAUGUUUUAACUUGUAUAUUUAAUGUAUAACCUAAUGACCAAAUUCUGGAUUGCAGAUCACCAAUCAUUAAACAUGUUUUGUGACUGACUGGUCUUCAGCAAACAGGUAUAAUGAAAUUUUGGAAACAAUCCUUAAAUGACAAUUGUCUGUUUUCAACACUUAAAGUUUAUUCAGUACAGUAGUUGAAUUUUUAAGGAGUUAUGAUUUAUUAAAUAAGAAAUUUAUUAAGACUAAACCCUUGGGGGCUGGCUUCAUUACAGUGAAAAUUAUGAAGUUAGUGUUUGAUUAAACUAUUUAGUAAUAAAAAUCAUAGUAAUCCAUGUAAGCAGUAAAAAUUAUUAGAUAUCUUAAUCUAUGACAGCAAUCUGAUUAAAUUCGUCUGCUUUUCUUGUGGCAUCUUAAAUGAAAAAACACACAUUUUUUAUAAACAUCAUUUGCAAUUGACUGAACUGCGAUUCAUUUGAACUUGCAAUUGCAAAGAGGACGUGUGAUGAAUAGAAUUAAAAUCUUAAACCAACAGUGGGAAUAAAAUAUUGGUCAGAAGAUUGAAGCAAUUGCGAAAAGUUAGAAGAAACAAUGGGAAGAGUUAAUACAUAGCAGAUGAGGAUAGGGAAAUUAUAUGUAAUGAUAGAAACAGUAUAUACUUCGAAAAACUGCUAAAAGGAGAAUUAAUACGGGCUGAGACCCAAGAAGAGUGUACGUACAUGAAUUAAGUAAGUUUGUGGUCAGUCUGUGGGAUCUCUGGAAAAUUGGUAAUUGGAGAGUGCUUUUAUUUAUGGAAACUUUUUGAAGGAUUUGUUAGUUACCAGAGGUUUUAGAGGUCCUACAAUGUUGCCAUAGAAAGGGGAAAUGGGGGUACGCAUCACUUUAACAGUAUAUUAGAAUGCAAUAGCUAAAGUUGAGGAAAGGCAGCAAAAGAUUGGCGUCAUGAAUGCAAAUAAGGCGUUCAUUCCUUUAGCAAGCAGCUAAAUUUUUACAAGGUGACUGGAAUGUUUUAAAAGAAAAAGAAAGAAUAGGCUCUUAGAAAAUUAUAUGGAGAAGCAAUUGAGAAAGAUGGUGUUCACAGGUAGAAAAGUUGCUUGAUACUGUGAAGAGAAAUGAAGUGGAACAGUAAGUUAAAGUUGUGUAUAUUGUACAUUGUAAGCAGAAGGAUGGCAGUUGGUGGGAAGCUGGAGAAGUGGAGAAAAGCCUUGAAAUGAAAUUUACCAUAAUAAGAAAACCUGACAAUCCAGUAAUGAUAAGAGUCUGAUACUCUGUGUGUGUAGGGUUUUUGUGCAGUUUUGACUUUGUACCUGUCCUAGGUUAAGAAAGAGAACAGAAUAGUUAUAUGAUUAUUUAUAAACUAGACCUUUAAUUUCCAGUGUAUUCACACAGUAAUGGUCUCUAAAUUCAAAUUAUUUAGUUUGUUGUACAAGCAUGAUGACUUAUUCAGAUCAAGAAAUGUGUGUUAAUGUUUCAAAGCUUCUUCCCAUGAAAACAGUUACAUCAUGGUCAACAUUUUCAGCCAUAAUAAGGCAAUCAACAGUGCCUAAUCUGGUAGGGAUUUUAGUGAUUUCUGUGUUGUUCUCCCAUAAAUACUGUACUGACAUUGUAACAGCUGUAGCUGAAUCAAUAAGUUGUGAUUUGAUUUGAAGAUGCUGUUUUGAGUUGCUUUCUUGGUGUGAAGCUGUAAGUAGCUGCAAGCAUUUGGUUACUAAAAUCUUGAAUUGUCAGGAAAAAUACAUGCAAAGAAAGUGUCAGGAAUAUGCAUAGCGUUAUUUAUUAUUAUUUUCUUUUUUUGCCAUUACAUUUCUAUGAAAUUCUGUCAUUCAUUCCAACAUAAUCUUGCCUAUUUGGUAGAACUUAGAAAAGGCUCUAUAAGCAGCCUAAACCUAAUUUGUUUUGUUUGAGAAACAGCUUGUCUACUUUUGCUGUGGCUACCUCAAAAACAUCAGCACAAUAUUAAGUUUGCCCAGGACUAUUACCAAUGACACCUUUUAUUAUUUUCCACUUCAGGCUCAUAUUAUUCUUGUCAGGAUCAGUAGUAAAUUGUCACUUGUUGAUCUCAUCCAUAGUUAACAUUCUUUGUCCCUUUCCUAGCUUGGCAGUUUUUAUAUUUAAUUGAUAAAAAGAAUGAAUUCUUUAUAAACUUCAUUGGAAUUACACCGCAUUUGAAUUAAGUUGUAAAAUUGUAUUUAUUUGGGAUUGGUGUAAUUUGAAAUGUAAAGUAUAAAAUCCUUACAUAUUUAGGUCUUUAAUUUUACAAAAAGGCAGUCCCCGGUUAUCGGCGGACUUGGUUGUGGUGAUCCGGUUUUAUGGCGCUUGCCUAGCCACAUAAAAUCAGCAAUUUAUGGCGCCAUGACGUGCCAUGUUCCAGUUAUUGGCACCAUAAGGUGCCAAAAAUAGAAUUAUGGUGCCAUAACAUACUUCACAAAGGCGCCAUUAACCAGUUAUUGGUGCCAUAAGCUCCAUAAAUUGCCAAGUUUCGGUUAAUGGUGGUUUCCGCUUAUCAGCACCCCGCCUAGAAAGGAACCCCCACCAACAACCAGGGACUGCCGUAAUACUAUACAUACGUAUAUUCAGUGUGUCACAAAGAAAUGCAUAUAUACAAACUGUGCUUAGUUUGCCUACACACUCACCUUGUUUUGUAUCAUAUAUGGUAAUGCUUAAUCAGUUUUGAUGAAUGGUGCAUGCUCUCAAAUAACUUCUUGUCAUAGUUAGGGUGUAUGUCAAAGGAUCAUUAGUAUGUAAUGAAAAAUGUCCAAACAUUUGGCAAGUUUCACUAGAGGCACUUGUUUAGUUCUCAUACCAUGUUUCUCUAGUAAUUGUGUGUGUGUGUGAGUAUGUGUGUGUGUUUCAUAGUUUUUUUAUCAUGGGUAUAAAUUCAUUUUAGGAUAACUUUAUUUUUAAGAUUUAAAUUUUAAAUUUUGUAUCAUUUUGGGUAGAACAUACAGACAACAACUAUACUUGAGUCUUUCUGAAUGCUUUGAAGAGUGACAGCCUAUAAUAGGUCUCUUAGUUUCAGUAAAACAGAAUAUAGUUCAGUGAGGUUAAUUAAACUGAGUUGGGAACUUUUCAAGACAAUUGUAGUCAUUGGCUUGGUAAGAUAUAUUCUACAGCUUGCCAGUUCAUGUCAUGUUUUGUUGUAUGCAUUGUAGAAGUAGAUUAUUAUGGUUGCUUUUGAUAUGAUAUGUACUUCUGUAAUACUACCUUUACAAAAUCUCUGUUAGGUUCUGUUCACAGGAAGGAGUAUUUGUGCGGUACAUUGUUCGACAGAGGUUUUUGGAACUUCAUAAGUUAAUGGGGAUUACUUUUGAGUAUGAUGUGUUGCUUCUUCUGUAAUUUUGCUAAGACCAAAAAAAUUUUCUUCACCCCCUCCCCCUCCUCUUUGGGCCCAGAAUCACUUUUCAGUUAUCUAGGCAGUUUGUUUACUAACAAGAAUGUGUUAUUUUAAUAAGCUAGUAGUACUUGUAGUGAACUCUGAUUUCCCUUAUACUAUAAGCAAUAUAUAUAUUUUUUUAGUUUUCUUCUAUUUACUGUAAUUGAUGUCUACAUUAACACUGGUUUUAGAUUCUAUACUUUUCCCCUUCCUUUCCUCUUAAACAGUCGAGGAGGAAGUAGACGGCGCAGAUACGAAGGUGAAGAUUUUGGGCCAAGAGUAAAACGGUUGAGAGGACCACAGAAUGUAAGAGGAAGAACGGAGAAGCCAAGUAAGUUUAUCACCACAUACACACGUGAAAGGGCAAGGGAAAGAUCACCACAGUACCGAACUGUACAACGUCGGGAAAGUUCAUACAAUGGUAACAGUAGUCAUAAGAUGACAUAUCAAGAUUUCAUGAGAGAAAUGCGAGAAUUUCACACACGAGCUCCCAGUAAUCUACCUCCUAUGGCGUUUCCGCCUCCGCCUCCAUUUGAUCCAAUUGGUCCACCAAGAUAUUAUGAUGGACCUCCAUUACCUGAAUAUCCAUCAUCUUCUCGAUCACGUUCUGAAAAAAGACCAUCUGCUGAUCCCUAUGAUCGCAGUGUGGACGAAUUUCUUCAAAGAACUCGUGAUCGAAGAGAAAGAAGUCGUGAGCGUCGCUAUCGUGAGCGGAGAUAAGUUAUCGGUUUUAUUACUGAAAUGUAUUAUUUUGCUUUAAGUGCAAAGAAUUAUUAUUAUUCUUAGGGUUCCUUAGGAUACAGAUAAGGAAGUGAACUGUACUACUUUUUGAAAAAUGGGAGGUCUGUAUUUUGGAAUAGCUACCUCAUUUAUUGUUACAAUAGCCUUUGUCAUUUUUUUUCUUUUUUUUUUUUUUUUUUUUUUUUUUCUUUUUUCUUUUUUUGUCAAGCAAUAAACAACUGUCUCCAAUUUGGAAUAAAGUAAUUAUGAACAUUUAAUUAAAUUUUCUAUUGGACAUUUCCAGUAAUAUAUGUGUGUGUGCGUGUGUGUGUAGCAAGGCUACAAAUAAAAUUUAUUUGGAAUAA